rnacentral:tRNA from 1 species
GUUUCUGAAGUGUAAACAUUUAAUAUUUUCAUUAUUAAGAUGCAAGUAGUUGCCAGAAAUA